rnacentral:lncRNA from 1 species
GUGGAGGAGGAGAGGAAUAUUUGUAUGGCUUCUUUGGUGGUGGUGGGGAAUGGUAGUAAGGUUUAGGGCUUAACAUGCACUGGUGGUGGAGGAGAAGAAUAUUUGUAUGGUUUCUUUGGGGGUGGUGGAGAAUGGUAGUAAGGUUUAGGGUGGACAUAUGGUGGAGGAGGAGAAGAAUACUUGUAAGGUUUCUUUGGUGGUGGUGGUGGUGAACUGUAAUGGUAGGGAGGAGGAGGUGUAUAAACGGUGGGGGUGGAGAGUGGUAGUAGUAUGGUUUCUUAGGUGGUGAGUACACUGGUGGUGGUGGUGAAGAGUAAUGGUAAGGUGGUUUAACUGGAGGGUACACCCCCGGUGGUGGGGAAUGUGGAGGGUACACCUUAGGUGGUGGUGGAGAACUAUAAUGGUAAGGUGGUGAGACUGGUGGAUACACCUCAGGUGGUGGUGAAUGUGGAGGGUAUUUCUUAGGUGGUGGUGGGGAAGAGUAAUGGUAAGGUGGUUUAACUGGUGGGUACACCUUGGGUGGUGGUGAAUGUGGAGGGUACACCUUAGGAGGUGGUGGUGAAGAGUAAUGGUAAGGUGGUGAAACUGGAGGAUACACCUUAGGUGGUGGUGAAUGAGGAGGAUACUUCUUAGGUGGUGGUGGUGAAGAGUAAUGGUAAGGUGGUGAAACUGGAGGGUACACCUUAGGUGGUGGUGAAUGUGGAGGGUACACCUUAGGUGGUGGUGGUGAAGGGUAGUGGUAAGGUGGGGAAACUGGAGGGUAGACCUUAGAAGGUGGAGGAGGUGAAGAAUACAAGUAGCUGUUUGCUGAAAUUUGAGAU